UGUUUAUUCUUUUUUAUUGCAGGAAACACCCUUGGGUGGUGGUUGCCAGAAGAAUCCCAUCCUCUCUGUUCUGAAGUGAGGCCAGGUCUGAACUGAAGACCCGGUUAUCUCUAAUCUGAGAGGUUGUUGCUCUGUGGCUAUACUCCAUGUGUCAGGCUCUGGAAAGGAGGAGGGGUAUGUGACAGUUCUUAGCCCUAAUAUUUCCUACCAUGAGGAGACUUCUUUCAUUUAUUCAUUCCAAUUUUUGCAUUUAAUCACAGAUCAGCUUAAAUCUCAAUUUGUCAGUUACACAUCACCUUUUUUAGCUGUAUUUCAAGUUAUUCAUCAGUCUGGGUCAUUGAUCUGAUAAGCCUGCUUUUGAAAGUAGCGACAGUAUCUUAUAAUUCUUUGUAUCUAGCUACAUUUGGCAUAACAUAACCUUCCUUAAAUAAAUAUUAAUUAG
rnacentral:lncRNA from 12 species